rnacentral:lncRNA from 1 species
UCCAAAUACCUCCUAGAAAAGAAGUUAGUUAUGGUAGAGGGAGUGAUGCUGGACUUGGUGUUAAGAACUUCAGGAAGCUUAGAAAUUUCCAUGGAAAUAGAAGAGGCGUACCUGAAAAGCAGGUAGAGCAGAGGAGCAAGGGGAAUCGAAGAAGAGCAGAGAACAGGAGAAGGCAAGCGUUCCGAGAAGACAGAGAAAAUUCAAAAGGCAAAGCAGUGAUGAGACGAAGAGUGGCUCUGAACAGUUUUGUCCUGGGGCGGCGCGGUCAUUAUUACACUCGAAGUUUACCCCCUCAUCAGUCGGACAAUAACUGACGAGAAGGUAAAGGGGCAAUUGAUGACCGCUGGAUUUCUCCACCCCGGUCAGGGGCCAAGCCCUCGAUCACGGCCCAUCGCUCGGAGGCCCACGCGAUCCCAAUACAAAUAGGUCCAGCCCGUUCGAACCUUGAUACAGGGUCCAUAUGGAUUUCUCAACCAGGCCGACCCAGUUC